UCUGUCGCGCUGAGGUGAUCUCGAAGGCUUUGCCUAAGUGUUGUCCUCAACACUAAAUGAUUGUUUUAACGCAGCCAAUAGUCAUUUGCACAAGGAGGUAUUUUAUUUUAUUACACUCUCUGUAUAGCUGACGACAUAUAAUAAAAUACUGAAGUUUUUCGAAAAAAAAAUGAUGUUCGAUGUUUUUACCAAACCUAGCGAAAACUAAAAAAGUUACCAAGCAACAUUGGUAUAUCAUUUUUUUUUUUGCGUUUGUUUUUGUCGCCAUUUCUCAUUUUUUUUUUCUUGGUCGGCGUGUGCGCCACGUGUGUGUCGUGAGCUCUAAGCACGUGAGUGUGUGUUGUCAUCUGCUGCUGCGCGAUAAGGAACAUUUUGUCAAGAGCGUACAAGACGAAAAGCGGGAUGUAUCUAUAUACCGUCCGUGCAUUGGCUGACGCGGAGGUAUGCUACCGACUCGGCUGCGUGGACGCGGGCACGAAGAAAGGAGCGCCGACUGACCAACGAUACUUUGACUGCGCAUGUGUGCCACUCAAGUGCAACAGUUCACGAGGCAUCCCAGGCCCCGAAAGAAGUUGGAAGAAGAUGCAAGCGCAGCAUGCCAAUGUUGUUGAAUAUUGCAGCACGAAGUUUCCAGGCGCAAGUGUUUCUUAUAUAAAAGAAAGCCUAUUCUCUCCCCUCACAAGGGAAAUAAAAUCACUAUAUAAAAAUGCC